UACGUAGGUGGCGAGCGUUGUCCGGAUUUACUGGGCGUAAAGAGCGCGCAGGCGGUCGUGCAAGUCGCGUGUGAAAGCCCCCGGCUCAACUGGGGAGGGUCACGCGAUACUGUUCGACUCGAAGGCAGGAGAGGGAAGCGGAAUUCCCGGUGUAGUGGUGAAAUGCGUAGAUAUCAGGAGGAACACCGAUAGCGAAGGCAGCUCGCUGGGACGGUACUGACGCUGAGGUGCGAAAGCGUGGGGAGCGAACAGG
rnacentral:rRNA from 1 species